CAGACACCCACUGCAUGUACAGCUGAGUGUGGACCUGGAGGAAAGUUGAUUCUGCAGCACUGAUGAGCUUUGUGACCCACCUCUUUGAACAAUCCCCUGCCGUGUGUUUCAGCCCAACGCGUGUGGAAGAAGUGUUCCAGGAAGUUUUCCUGCAAACUGGAGAGUAUCGGGGCAGGGGAUAAGGAGACAACUGGAAUUGCUGAGAAAGAGAGCGAGGUGGUGAGUGCUGCAGAUGGGCCACUGGAGUGGAAGACAGUGUGGGUGGUGGGAUCAGGAGCUGGUGAGGGUGCUGCUCCCACGGAACAGGAGGCUGCUGCUGGAGAUGACAAACCUCAGGGAGAAGAAAAGGAGAUCGAUGUUUCCCAGGUACCUCAUGUUGUUGUGUGGGGAGCAUUAGAGGAAUCCAGCCAGAUCCAGCAGCUCCAGCACAGGCGAGGCUGAUGCAGCUCCAUGCCCCAGGGUCCAACAAGCAGUGAGGAUGAGCAUGUAUUCUCAGUCAGUGCACACACAGAGCACACAGACAUAUUUGUACACACACAGACAGCCAUGGGAAUCAAAGGCAGGCACACGGGGUGCUCACACAAACACAAGCAUUACCAGAGGCCUCAUCGCGUUCACCUCUGGCUGAGUAGGUAGAGCUCUACUAGUGGGAAUACAUGGAUUUGUAUGUACAUGCUGUUGUCACUCAAGUCCACUCACCUGAGUGUCUCCAGUGGCUGGCACCUGGAUCUCUCCUGCAGCUGGCAGAUGGGCACACAGGCCUUCCAAUCCACGGUCUGAGCCUAAUGCACACACGAGCAAGAAUAACAGACAGCCCUCACCCUGGAGAGGAGUUAGCCAGCAACUUGAUGAGAAGAUAGGACAGACCACACUCAUCAGGUGCAGGACGUGGCCAGAUAACAUCUGAACUGUCCAUGCUUACGUGCAAGCAGUCCAUUUCUGCUGUUACCUGUGCCUUUGUUGUCCCACACUUGUUCCUCCCCAGAUCGCCUCAACCCACCCACUGCUUUUGGUUUCUCCCUUAAACAUCCCAUAGUAAGUCUUGUACAGUAAU